rnacentral:misc_RNA from 1 species
GUGGGAGGGGGCUUGCCCCCGAUAGCGGAGUGUCAGCCACAGUUGUAUUAGCUGAUGCACUGCAAUCGGGGGCAAGCCCCCUCCCAC